AUUCGAGCGUCAUUAUCACCCCUCAAGCCUAGCUUGGUGUUGAGGCCUGCUGUCAAGGCAGCCUCUAAAAUCAGUGGCAGUGCUGUCAGGCUCUAAGCGUAGUAAAUCUAAUCGCUAUAGACACCUGGUGGACACUCGCCAGAACCCCCCCAUUUUUAAUGAUUGACCUCGGAUUAGGUAGGGAUACCCGCUGAACUUAA
rnacentral:misc_RNA from 1 species